GGCGUGGUAGCAAAGUGGUUACUGCGACAGACUAGAACAGUUUCAGAUCCUGAAAUCUGAGUACAACUUGACUAUCUGUUCUCUUCGGAGGCGCAGGUUCGAAUCCUGCCCACGUCG
rnacentral:tRNA from 1 species